CCUACGGGAGGCAGCAGUGAGGAAUAUUGGUCAAUGGGCGCGAGCCUGAACCAGCCACGUAGCGUGAAGGAUGCCUGCCCUACGGGUUGUAAACUUCUUUUAUAAAGGAAUAAAGUGAGGCACGUGUGCCUUUUUGUAUGUACUUUAUGAAUAAGGAUCGGCUACAUCCGUGACAGCAGCCGCGGUAAUACGGAGGAUCCGAGCGUUAUCCGGAUUUAUUGGGUUUAAGGGGAGCGUAGAUGGGUGGUUAAGUCAGGUGUGAAAGGCUGGGGCUCAACCGUAAAAUUGCAAUUGAUACUGGCAGCCUUGAGUACAGUUGAGGUAGGCGGAAUUCGUGGUGUAGCGGUGAAAUGCUUAGAUAUAACGAAGAACUCCGAUUGCGAAGGCAGCCUACUAAACUGCCACUGACAUUGAUGCUCGAAAGUGUGGGUAUCAAACAGGAUUAGAUACCCCGGUAGUC
rnacentral:rRNA from 1 species